CUGUUUAUCAAAAACAUCGCCUCUAGCUCAACCAUACAUGAGGUCCAACCUGCCCAGUGACUAUAUGUUCAACGGCCGCGGUAUUCUGACCGUGCAAAGGUAGCGUAAUCACUUGUCUUUUAAAUGAAGACUAGUAUGAACGGUUAAACGAGGGCUAAGCUGUCUCUCUUUUCAAGUCAAUGAAAUUGAUCUGCCCGUGCAGAAGCGGACAUAAAAAUACAAGACGAGAAGACCCUUUGGAGCUUAAGAUACAAGACUCAAUCAUGUCAAGCAAGACCAAAAAAUAAACGAACCUAGUGAGAAAUGAGCCUAUAUCUUCGGUUGGGGCGACCACGGAGGAAAAAUAAGCCUCCAAGUGGACUAGGCAUUAGCCUAAAAUUAAGAAAGACAUUUCUAGAUAACAGAACAUCUGACCACUAAUGAUCCGGUCACAAGACCGAGCAACGAACCAAGUUACCCUAGGGAUAACAGCGCAAUCCUCUUUUAGAGCCCAUAUCGACGAGAGGGUUUACGACCUCGAUGUUGGAUCAGGACAUCCUAAUGGUGCAGCCACUAUUAAGGGUUCGUUUGUUCAACGAUUAAAGUCCUACGUGAUCUGAGUUCARA
rnacentral:rRNA from 1 species